CAGAGGUCCCAAGCGUUGUUCGGAUUCGACUGGGCGUAAAGGGUGCGUAGGCGGUCGGGUAAGUCUGAUGUGAAAUCUCCAAGCUCAACUUGGAAAUGGCAUCGGAUACUAUUCGGCUCGAGGGAAUGGAGGGGAGACUGGAAUACUUGGUGUAGCAGUGAAAUGCGUAGAUAUCAAGUGGAACACCAGUGGCGAAGGCGAGUCUCUGGACAUUUCCUGACGCUGAGGCACGAAAGCCAGGGGAGCAAACGGGAUUAGAUACCCCGGUAGUCCUGGCCCUAAACGGUGCACGUUUGCUGUAAGAGGAAUCGACCCCUUUUGUGGCGAAGCUAACGCGUUAAACGUGCCGCCUGGGAAGUACGGUCGCAAGAUUA
rnacentral:rRNA from 1 species